rnacentral:tRNA from 1 species
GCCAGUGUGGAGUAGUGGUUGAGCACUGGAAUAUGACUCUGGAGACCAGAGUUCGAUUCCCUGCUUGGCCA